rnacentral:rRNA from 1 species
UUAAGCGACUAAGCGUACACGGUGGAUGCCCUGGCAGUCAGAGGCGAUGAAGGACGUGCUAAUCUGCGAAAAGCGCCGGCGAGGUGAUAUGAACCUUUGACCCGGCGAUGUCCGAAUGGGGAAACCCAGUGCAAUUCGUUGCACUAUCGUUAACUGAAUACAUAGGUUAACGAGGCGAACCGGGGGAACUGAAACAUCUAAGUACCCCGAGGAAAAGAAAUCAACCGAGAUUCCCCCAGUAGCGGCGAGCGAACGGGGAGGAGCCCAGAGUCUGAAUCAGUUUGUGUGUUAGUGGAACGGUCUGGAAAGUCCGGCGAUACAGGGUGACAGCCCCGUACACGAAAGCACACAUGCUGUGAACUCGAAGAGUAGGGCGGGACACGUGGUAUCCUGUCUGAAUAUGGGGGGACCAUCCUCCAAGGCUAAAUACUCCUGACUGACCGAUAGUGAACCAGUACCGUGAGGGAAAGGCGAAAAGAACCCCGGCGAGGGGAGUGAAAAAGAACCUGAAACCGUGUACGUACAAGCAGUGGGAGCAUCCUUCGGGGUGUGACUGCGUACCUUUUGUAUAAUGGGUCAGCGACUUAUAUUCUGUAGCAAGGUUAACCGAAUAGGGGAGCCGAAGGGAAACCGAGUCUUAACUGGGCGUUAAGUUGCAGGGUAUAGACCCGAAACCCGGUGAUCUAGCCAUGGGCAGGUUGAAGGUUGGGUAACACUAACUGGAGGACCGAACCGACUAAUGUUGAAAAAUUAGCGGAUGACCUGUGGCUGGGGGUGAAAGGCCAAUCAAACCGGGAGAUAGCUGGUUCUCCCCGAAAGCUAUUUAGGUAGCGCCUCGUGAACUCAUCUUCGGGGGUAGAGCACUGUUUCGGCUAGGGGGUCAUCCCGACUUACCAACCCGAUGCAAACUGCGAAUACCGAAGAAUGUUAUCACGGGAGACACACGGCGGGUGCUAACGUCCGUCGUGAAGAGGGAAACAACCCAGACCGCCAGCUAAGGUCCCAAAGUCAUGGUUAAGUGGGAAACGAUGUGGGAAGGCCCAGACAGCCAGGAUGUUGGCUUAGAAGCAGCCAUCAUUUAAAGAAAGCGUAAUAGCUCACUGGUCGAGUCGGCCUGCGCGGAAGAUGUAACGGGGCUAAACCAUGCACCGAAGCUGCGGCAGCGACACUGUGUGUUGUUGGGUAGGGGAGCGUUCUGUAAGCCGUUGAAGGUGUGCUGUGAGGCAUGCUGGAGGUAUCAGAAGUGCGAAUGCUGACAUAAGUAACGAUAAAGCGGGUGAAAAGCCCGCUCGCCGGAAGACCAAGGGUUCCUGUCCAACGUUAAUCGGGGCAGGGUGAGUCGACCCCUAAGGCGAGGCCGAAAGGCGUAGUCGAUGGGAAACAGGUUAAUAUUCCUGUACUUGGUGUUACUGCGAAGGGGGGACGGAGAAGGCUAUGUUAGCCGGGCGACGGUUGUCCCGGUUUAAGCAUGUAGGCGGAGGUUCCAGGUAAAUCCGGUACCUUUUAACGCUGAGGUGUGAUGACGAGGCACUACGGUGCUGAAGUAACAAAUGCCCUGCUUCCAGGAAAAGCCUCUAAGCAUCAGGUAACACGAAAUCGUACCCCAAACCGACACAGGUGGUCAGGUAGAGAAUACCAAGGCGCUUGAGAGAACUCGGGUGAAGGAACUAGGCAAAAUGGUGCCGUAACUUCGGGAGAAGGCACGCUGACAUGUAGGUGAAGCCCCUGCGGGUGGAGCUGAAGUCAGUCGAAGAUACCAGCUGGCUGCAACUGUUUAUUAAAAACACAGCACUGUGCAAACACGAAAGUGGACGUAUACGGUGUGACGCCUGCCCGGUGCCGGAAGGUUAAUUGAUGGGGUUAUCCUUAGGGAGAAGCUCUUGAUCGAAGCCCCGGUAAACGGCGGCCGUAACUAUAACGGUCCUAAGGUAGCGAAAUUCCUUGUCGGGUAAGUUCCGACCUGCACGAAUGGCGUAAUGAUGGCCAGGCUGUCUCCACCCGAGACUCAGUGAAAUUGAACUCGCUGUGAAGAUGCAGUGUACCCGCGGCAAGACGGAAAGACCCCGUGAACCUUUACUAUAGCUUGACACUGAACAUUGAGCCUUGAUGUGUAGGAUAGGUGGGAGGCUUUGAAGCGUGGACGCCAGUCUGCGUGGAGCCAACCUUGAAAUACCACCCUUUAAUGUUUGAUGUUCUAACCUGGCGCCGUAAUCCGGCGUGGGGACAGUGUCUGGUGGGUAGUUUGACUGGGGCGGUCUCCUCCUAAAGAGUAACGGAGGAGCACGAAGGUUGGCUAAUCCUGGUCGGACAUCAGGAGGUUAGUGCAAUGGCAUAAGCCAGCUUGACUGCGAGCGUGACGGCGCGAGCAGGUGCGAAAGCAGGUCAUAGUGAUCCGGUGGUUCUGAAUGGAAGGGCCAUCGCUCAACGGAUAAAAGGUACUCCGGGGAUAACAGGCUGAUACCGCCCAAGAGUUCAUAUCGACGGCGGUGUUUGGCACCUCGAUGUCGGCUCAUCACAUCCUGGGGCUGAAGUAGGUCCCAAGGGUAUGGCUGUUCGCCAUUUAAAGUGGUACGCGAGCUGGGUUUAGAACGUCGUGAGACAGUUCGGUCCCUAUCUGCCGUGGGCGCUGGAGAAUUGAGGGGGGCUGCUCCUAGUACGAGAGGACCGGAGUGGACGCAUCACUGGUGUUCGGGUUGUCAUGCCAAUGGCAUUGCCCGGUAGCUACAUGCGGAAGAGAUAAGUGCUGAAAGCAUCUAAGCACGAAACUUGCCCCGAGAUGAGUUCUCCCUGAGACCCAGAGUCUCCUGAAGGAACGUUAAAGACGAUGACGUUGAUAGGCCGGGUGUGUAAGCGCAGCGAUGCGUUGAGCUAACCGGUACUAAUGAACCGUGAGGCUUAACCUU